rnacentral:rRNA from 1 species
UGUGCCCUUGAGGCGUGGCUUCCGGAGCUAACGCGUUAAGUCGACCGCCUGGGGAGUACGGCCGCAAGGUUAAAACUCAAAUGAAUUGACGGGGGCCCGCACAAGCGGUGGAGCAUGUGGUUUAAUUCGAUGCAACGCGAAGAACCUUACCUACUCUUGACAUCCAGAGAAUUCGCUAGAGAUAGCUUAGUGCCUUCGGGAACUCUGAGACAGGUGCUGCAUGGCUGUCGUCAGCUCGUGUUGUGAAAUGUUGGGUUAAGUCCCGCAACGAGCGCAACCCUUAUCCUUUGUUGCCAGCACGUAAUGGUGGGAACUCAAAGGAGACUGCCGGUGACAAACCGGAGGAAGGUGGGGAUGACGUCAAGUCAUCAUGGCCCUUACGAGUAGGGCUACACACGUGCUACAAUGGCAUAUACAAAGAGAAGCAAACUCGCGAGAGCAAGCGGACCUCAUAAAGUAUGUCGUAGUCCGGAUUGGAGUCUGCAACUCGACUCCAUGAAGUCGGAAUCGCUAGUAAUCGUAGAUCAGAAUGCUACGGUGAAUACGUUCCCGGGCCUUGCACUCAGCGCCCGUCA